rnacentral:rRNA from 1 species
UACAGAGGGUGCAAGCGUUGUUCGGAAUUACUGGGCGUAAAGGGCGCGUAGGCGGCCUGCUAAGUCGGAUGUGAAAUCCCUCGGCUCAACCGAGGAACUGCAUCCGAUACUGGCGGGCUUGAAUCCGGGAGAGGGAUGUGGAAUUCCAGGUGUAGCGGUGAAAUGCGUAGAUAUAGGAAGGAAUACCAGUGGCGAAGGCGGCCUCCUGGAUCGACACUGACGCUAAGGCGCGAAAGCGUGGGGAGCAAACAGG